rnacentral:rRNA from 1 species
CUCGUAGGCGGUUCAGUAAGUCGGGUGUGAAAACUUUGGGCUUAACCCAAAGCGUGCAUCCGAUACUGCUGUGACUUGAGUACGGUAGGGGAGCGGGGAAUUCCUAGUGUAGCGGUGAAAUGCGCAGAUAUUAGGAGGAACACCGGUGGCGAAGGCGCCGCUCUGGGCCGAAACUGACGCUGAGGAGCGAAAGCAUGGGUAAGCAAACA